GGUGCAGAUGAUGUUUUUUUAGCGAUCAAAGCAUGAUCUCACAGUGAUUACAGCUUUAAAACACUGAUGCACC
rnacentral:snoRNA from 1 species